rnacentral:rRNA from 1 species
AGAUGGCGACCGGCGCACGGGUGAGUAACACGUAUCCAACCUGCCGAUAACUCGGGGAUAGCCUUUCGAAAGAAAGAUUAAUACCCGAUAGUAUAAUGAUUCCGCAUGGUUUCAUUAUUAAAGGAUUCCGGUAAAGGAUGGGGAUGCGUUCCAUUAGGUUGUUGGUGAGGUAACGGCUCACCAAGCCUUCGAUGGAUAGGGGUUCUGAGAGGAAGGUCCCCCACAUUGGAACUGAGACACGGUCCAA